rnacentral:rRNA from 1 species
GACGGAACACGAGAAAUUCCGUCGGAAUCCGGGAGGACCAUCUCCCAAGGCUAAAUACUCUCUAGUGACCGAUAGUGAACCAGUACCGUGAGGGAAAGGUGAAAAGUACCCCGGAAGGGGAGUGAAAGAGAACUUGAAACCGUGUGCUUACAAGUAGUCAGAGCCCGUUAAUGGGUGAUGGCGUGCCUUUUGUAGAAUGAACCGGCGAGUUACGAUUUGAUGCAAGGUUAAGCAGUGAAUGUGGAGCCGUAGCGAAAGCGAGUCUGAAUAGGGCGUUGAGUAUUUGGUCGUAGACCCGAAACCAGGUGAUCUACCCUUGACCAGGUUGAAGUUCAGGUAACACUGAAUGGAGGACCGAACCGACUUACGUUGAAAAGUGAGCGGAUGAGUUGAGGGUAGCGGAGAAAUUCCAAUCGAACCUGGAGAUAGCUGGUUCUCUCCGAAAUAGCUUUAGGGCUAGCCUCAAGUGAUGAUUAUUGGAGGUAGAGCACUGUUUGGACGAGGGGCCCUUAUCGGGUUACCGAAUUCAGACAAACUCCGAAUGCCAAUCAAUUUAACUUGGGAGUCAGAACGCGGGUGAUAAGGUCCGUGUUCGAAAGGGAAACAGCCCAGACCACCAGCUAAGGUCCCAAAAUAUAUGUUAAGUGGAAAAGGAUGUGGCGUUGCCCAGACAACUAGUAUGUUGGCUUAGAAG